rnacentral:rRNA from 1 species
GUGGGGAAUAUUGGACAAUGGGCGAAAGCCUGAUCCAGCCAUGCCGCGUGUGUGAAGAAGGUCUUCGGAUUGUAAAGCACUUUAAGUUGGGAGGAAGGGCAGUAAGUUAAUACCUUGCUGUUUUGACGUUACCAACAGAAUAAGCACCGGCUAACUUCGUGCCAGCAGCCGCGGUAAUACGAAGGGUGCAAGCGUUAAUCGGAAUUACUGGGCGUAAAGCGCGCGUAGGUGGUUCAGCAAGUUGAAGGUGAAAUCCCCGGGCUCAACCUGGGAACUGCCUCCAAAACUACUGAGCUAGAGUACGGUAGAGGGUAGUGGAAUUUCCUGUGUAGCGGUGAAAUGCGUAGAUAUAGGAAGGAACACCAGUGGCGAAGGCGACUACCUGGACUGAUACUGACACUGAGGUGCGAAAGCGUGGGGAGCAAACAGGAUUAGAAACCCUUGUAGUCC